GAAAAGAGCUAAGCUUCAAAACCCAAAAUCAUGGUCACAGCCACCAAGAAAAGCAAUGUCAUCACUUUUUGUAAGGCUGAGACAAGUCGUCUGUGCUGGAAAAACAACAGCCAGCCUGAGGUAAUGGACUACACACUACCAAUCCUCCUCAUAAUUUGACUAACCGACCUGUUUAAACCGGAUCCCAUCCAGCUCAUUGGCCGUCUACGUGGGCCUAGAACGCCGUCGGUUCGUUUUCCCGACUCGGUUCCAAAACUUGUCAGUUUUCGUUGACAUCCUACGAAAGGAUUCGUAGGAAUUCGGGUUCCCGACAACAUGUGUUGCCAAUUUUCUGAGAAACCUUGAAAUUACUUGAAAGUGAUGAAGAAAAAUUUGGCGUGCUGGGUUUGGGGAAGUUGUUAAAGCUUUUUCCUGAAGUGGGUAUUGAAUCUUUUGACCAUUUUCCUUGUGAAAAUUCUUCUUACCACGACUUCACUCCAUUGCUGCAGAAGAUUAAGGUAGGCUAAGGUAAUUUGAACCUUAAGGGUUUUCGUAUAUGAUAUAGGACUAAUAAUGUUGGUUUAUUUCCUCUUGUAACCAUCCUUGGGACGAGAGAGUAGGAUUAGGUUUCUGGUUACUCAAUGAGAUGUUCGAUUUUUCACUUAUUUUAGGGUUUCUUUUUUGAGUGAUUUUAAUUUAGAUUGUGAUGAUGAAGAUAAUAUUAGGAGAUUAAUGGAAAUUCUGGCUGAGAGUGUUAUGAAAUUUUAAACUCUGAAACAUUUUUAGCGUUCAUUGCUGUAUUAUUUACAUGUUUAGACCUUUUAAUAUUUUUUUUUCUGCCCCUAAUUUAGACGUUCUUUGGUUAUCAAUGUUCAUUGUUCUUCUACUAGUAUUCUAAUCAUUUUUACUGCAUUUCUUUUAAUUCUUCUAAUUUUUAAGGUACAUUGUAGAAGUAUCAGAAAUUGAGGCCUAGAGCUGCCACUGUGAUUAGGGCAAAUGAAGCAUAGUGGAGCAGGAUUCCGCAAGGGGAGCUAAAAUUGGACUCUUAGCAUGGUAAGGACGUUGAACCUCAAGCUUACAAAAAAAGGUUAAGGUCCCCUACAUUGGCCAUGGGUGGGGCCCAAAAGGCUAAUAAAGAGGUCAAGGACAUCGGACCUGGGCUAUAUCACCCAUCCCAGGGACAUAAGUUGGACGAGAUGCAUGAGCAUGAGUAGUCAGGGACUCAUGAACCUCCAUGUCGGACGCAGGAGUUAAAUGGCAUCAUCAGGUAUUAUUCUUAUGACAUCAUGAAAGACAAUGCAAUAGCAAUAGCUAUCAUACUUGUAGUUUAAAUGGACAUGUUAGUGUUUUAUGAAUAAGUAAAAUAUAUACUGUGAUCUUAUUAUUUUGUGUGUGUGUGUUUUAGUGGUUUUUUAGUCACAACUCAUUGCAUUGAAAAAUCAGGGCACACAAAUGGUGCCAAAAAUGAGGAAUGCAAUCAAUCCAACUAUGGAUAGCUGGAGAAGAAGUUGCAUAACUAGCUAGAUUGUGGACCUCUUUAUUCCAUUAUGAGGAAUGAAGCCACACGAACCACAUUCAACAACUUAAACAAGUGCUGCAAUAAUUAAGCAAACUAUAGCACUAAAGGACAAACUCUUACCAGAGCCAAAGCCACUUAGGACCCAAUAACCCCUUCAUUCCAUGUAUUCACCUUUCUUCUCAAAGUGCCAAAUGAGCUUAUCAACCCUAAUGUUUGCACUUAAUGGAAUAGAUGUGAUUAUAUCCCUAUCCACUGGCCAGAAGAUCCUCGAGUUAUUUUUAUUUUGUUAUUUUAUUUUAUUUUUGCAAUUCCAUCCUCUAUUUGGAAGCAUAAUGUUAGCAACCCUCUGAAUCUCAGAAUGUAAGGCUGUGAUUGGUUAAAAGCUCGGUUGUCUAAGUGACUGUGGGUUUCCAAAAAUCUAAUUUUCCCCACAUUCCUACCUACCAUCUGAACCACGAAUUAUGAGUUCCUUUCCCCAAAGGAUGCUCAGCCUUAAACAUGCAUUUGUUGGACAUGCCACUGUUAGGAAGUCAUAUCCCCUAAAGUAUUUGCCCUUCAGGACCAUUGCUGCUAGAGAGGCAUUAGUUGUCGUAGUUCUCCAAACUUGUUUAGCCAACAGGGUUUUAUUAAAAGAAUAAUUCUCCACGUACAUGGGAUUUGUUGACAGGGUCAAUACCGGGGGACAGUUGUCCCCUAUAAUUGGCUUGACCCUGUGAACAAAAUCCUGUACCUGUAGUUUUAUUAUUAUUAAAAUGCCUCACUUCUUGAAAUUCGAGCUCUCCAAGUCCCUUUGGUUUACAUAGUGUAUCCCAUUUCACAUAUGCCAUUUUCCUCCACCCUAAUUCAGAAUCGCACCAUAACCGUUGAAAAAUAACUUAUUGCAAAGAGACUCGGGCAUUUAAAUAUAAACAGCAUAUUCGUUGGGAUGGAUUGCAAAACCGCCUUGACCAAGACCUCUUGAUCCUGUGGAGAAUAAACACUGUUUUAAGCCUUGCACCCUCAUCCGUACUCUUCCUUUCAAUUGCUCAAAGUUACCCUUUUAUUCUUCCCAACGACGAAAUCCAUUCUUAAGCAUCUUUCAUGAGGCCUAGCAUCCCGAAGACAGAGUAUAUUCUGGAUUAAAGCCUUGUGCUCAAGUAUAACAUACGGUCUGAAAGUCAUUGAAAAUUUCUCCAAAUUAACCACUUGACAUGAUGUCCUCUCAUAUAUCAAAAGAUUAUUCGGGGCAGCUUGACAAUCCGAGGUUCUAGCAUGAGAAAGUACAAUGGAGUGAUGCGUGAAAAACAUGUAACUGGCCGCCCUUUAGCACUCUGCUUCCACAAUCUCACCCUCAACCUCUACCUUGUAAAAGAGAGGGACUAUGUACACAGGAUGAAGAGAUAUGGGAAUAAUGGGCAGCGCUUCCGAAGCCCCUGCCGUAUAUGACUCUCUUCUUAGGACCCUCAUUGAAAUUGAACUUAAAUUUGGCCAUUGAGAUCAUGUCAUCACCUAAUUCACCCAGCCACUAGGAAAUUCUAUUUUCUCCAUAACACAGCCUACAAACACACACUUCACUUGGUCAUAAACUUUACUCAUGUCGAGCUUAAGCGGCUUGAAGGCUUACUUCCAUUAUUCUUCUUACUAAUGAAUGUACCAAAUCCUGAGCAACAAUGACGUUGUCUGUAAUACGUCGGCCAGGGACAAAUUUACAUUGUUUUCCAGAUAUAAAGUUGGGUAGAAGUUUCUUAAGCCCGUGUUUAAUUAUUUUUGUGAUAAUUUGUACACCACAUUGCACAAACUAAUGAGCCUGUAGUCGCAGAUAAGUACACAGGAUGCUUUAUUUUGAAAUUAUAAAAAUGGUAGUAUCAUUUGUAUGUCUGGCUGAUUUGCCAUUACGAGAACUUUAAGACAAGCCGAACAAACCAUCAUUCCUACAACAGACCAGUGUUUUGGGAAAAAUAAAACAUGAAGCCUGUCCAUACUUGGUGCUUUAGUUUGGUCCCAUAUGCUUCAAUUCUGCCCGAAGAGAAAGGGACAUCAAUCCAAGCCUUGUACUAUGGAUACAACGUAGCAGAAAUCCCCCUCUGCAGCAUCCAAUUCUUCCACAUUAAGCCCCAUAAUGGAGAGUAGAGAUGUUUAACAGUUUUCAAGAAAUGGGACUACAUGUUUCUCACUCUCAAACCAAACCCCAGCCUCAUUCUGGAUUCUAGAUAAAUCAUUCUUUAUCAUAUCUUAUUACACUAUAUUAAAGUUACAAACUAACUAUUUAACUAAUUUUGAUGCAAUGAAGGUUGACAAUAUUUACUUGUAAUCUUAAAGAAUGACAUCACAUCUUCCCUGUGCAGGCAUGUAAGAAUUUAGUGUUAGGAUCCCACAUUUUGAGCCAUUCAGCCCGUGACAGUUGUCUUCAGUACAUAUCGUCCCGCUUAGGCAAGACAUCAAUGUCAUGUUCCAACCCUUUUAUAGCAGCCAUGGAUUGCCCUUACAGAGGAUAAGCAUAUAGGUCAGCAAGAAGCUAUUUUUCCUCUGCAACUCUCUCACCCGUUUCAAAACUUGAACAUUCUCCAACUGCUCAAGACUGACAUUAAACAAGCUCAUGGGAGAGAUGUAUAGAAGUUUUCAAGGACUGGGACUACACGUUCCUCACCAGGCUCAUAUGGGAUUCUGAACAAGUCAUCCUUUGUCCUCAAAGAUGAGAGACUCAAUAGUAGAAUGAGUCUCUCAUAUAGAAGUUCACCAUUUGCUUUGCAACUAGCUUCACAAGCAGAAGAAGAAUAGGACAAUGAUCAGCUAUUGAGAACUCCAAAUGUGUAAUCAGGGAAUCAAGAUUAUUCCACAUGUAUUAACAGUAUUCCAGCAAUCUUUCAUAUUGAAAGAAAACAUCAAAGUAGGAUUAUUAAUC
rnacentral:lncRNA from 1 species